GCCUCGAUGGUGUAGUGGUAGAGCACGCAUCCCCAGAUAGGAUGAAACGCGGGUUCCAUUCCCUACCGAGGCC